UAAGCUAUUUUCGAUCAGAAUUUUUUUAUUCUCUUCUUUCUCUAAAAUUUUGAGAAAAAGAAAAAAUUCUUUGUUUCGUAUGCCUUCCCGUAUGUUUGUGAGGUUGUGUUCGGACAUGGUCCAACUUUUUGUUUCAAUACCGUACGGUGAGUUCUAGUUAUAGUUACCGGUAAAUCCGGUUUUAUCGUCGCCGUUCUUUGGUAUUUUGCCUUUAUUUGUCUUUAUUUCUAAUAAACUUAUUAAGUUUCUUCAUUACGAAGAAAAAGUGGAAGUUUAAGAGUUUCGGCUUCAUAAGCCUUGUCGUUCAAAUUUUGUAGUAGUUUCACUUGAUGGGCAUGGCGACGUUAAGUCUCACCGGAAAAUCUUUUUGGUUGCUUACGUCAUUGUGAUGCUUCAUGCUACUUUGGAAUGGUGGACGCUUUCCUUCAUAUGAAAGAAAGUUUCGUUCGUUUGUUAAAUCUGAGUUUAAUUUCGUUUGGAAGAGGAAGACUAGAUGUGCAAUUUCUUUAGAGGGUCUUCAGUGCUCUACUUGAAGCUUCUGGUUUUGCGGAGUGAACGAACUUUCGGUGGGUAGGCGUUCUUCGAUCUCAGAAAACAUGCCGGCAGUGGUUGGCAUUCUCGACAAACACGUUCUUCUCGUCACGUGUCUGUGAUUUCCUCAUGAGGCGACACAUGUCUCUGUGUUGUAUGGCUUUCUUAUCCCUUCCUCGAUGGGUUACUAUAUUGGGCUCGGUUUGACUUUUGUUGUUGGACUUUUGUUUUAAGAAGGCUUUGUUUUAAGAAGAAAGAGAUAGCAAAAUAGGCAAAAUCUCUAUUUGCGC
rnacentral:sRNA from 1 species